ACGAAGGGGGCAAGCGUUGUUCGGAAUGACUGGGCGUAAAGGGCGCGUAGGCGGUGCGUUGCGUCAGAUGUGAAAUCCCCGGGCUCAACCUGGGAAUGGCAUUUGAUACGGGCGUACUGGAAUCCGUGAGAGGUUGGUGGAAUUCCCAGUGUAGAGGUGAAAUUCGUAGAUAUUGGGAAGAACACCAGUGGCGAAGGCGGCCAACUGGCACGGUAUUGACGCUGAGGCGCGAAAGCGUGGGGAGCAAACAGGAUUAGAUACCCUGGUAGUCCACGCCGUAAACGAUGUGUGCUAGCCGUCGGUCAGCUUGCUGUUCGGUGGCGCAGCUAACGCGAUAAGCACACCGCCUGGGGAGUACGGUCGCAAGAUUA
rnacentral:rRNA from 1 species